ACGUGUGAUCUUCCGAUAACGAAAGAGGCAUAGGGAAAGAAAUUUUUCAAAAAUCGAACGACGAGACGAUACACGUUUUAGGUGAAAUUAAAUUUAACCAAAAUGAUGGUAAAGGAAAACGAAACGACGGAGUAAAGGAAACGAGAAUACAUUUUUUUUGACGACAAUUUUCGGAGGCUAUAAUAUCUAACGAUAAGUAAGGAUCUCGUGCAUGCGAUAUGCAUACACCUGUAUUAAGACGUUAAGAUGAGUAUAAGAAAUUAAUUAAUCAACUAACGAAAAAUUGUUGUAAUCACGUAAGUUUCAGGGUGACAUGGGGGGGGAGAGAUCCUGAGCUAUUAAUGAAUUUUAAAGGGGGAAAAAAAGAAACGACGAAAUCACGCUGGUGGUGAAAAAAAAAGGGAAAAUUCUUGUCCGAAAAUUGAUUGAACGCGGCAUCUGAGUGAUAAUUAUUAAUAAUACACACUCGGGUAGCUAUUGGUGACUGCGCGCGGCGUUCGA